GCUGCUCAAAACUUCACACACCUCUUCGUGGUGAGCAGCAGGCAACGGUCUUAUGACUGGCUGAGAUGUGAAA
rnacentral:ribozyme from 1 species